AGCUCCAAUAGCGUAUAUUAAAGUUGUUGCGGUUAAAAGCUCGUAGUUGGAUUUCUGUUGAAGACGACCGGUCCAGACGAUGUCUGAGUAUCUGGCUUGGCUUCGGCAUCCUCUCGGAAUACGUUGCUGCGCUUGACUGCGUGGUGCGGAGUCCGGGACUUUUACUUUGAGGAAAUUAGAGUGUUCACGGCAGGCUCACGCCCUGAAUAUAUUAGCAUGGAAUAAUAAUAUAGGAUCAUGGUCCUAUUUUGUUGGUUUCUAGGAUCAAGAUAAUGAUUAAUAGGGACAGUUGGGGGCAUUCGUAUCAACACGUCAGAGGUGGAAUUCUUGGAUUGUGUUGCGACGAACUACUGCGAAAGCAUUUGCCAAGGAUGUUUUCA
rnacentral:rRNA from 1 species